UACGGAGGGUGCAAGCGUUUUUCGGAAUCACUGGGCGUAAAGCGCGUGUAGGCGGCCUGUUAAGUCAGGUGUGAAAUCCCUUGGCUCAACCAAGGAACUGCAUCUGAAACUGGCUGGCUUGAGUACGGGAGAGGAGAGUGGAAUUCCCGGUGUAGAGGUGAAAUUCGUAGAUAUCGGGAAGAACACCGGUGGCGAAGGCGGCUCUCUGGACCGAUACUGACGCUGAGACGCGAAAGCGUGGGGAGCAAACAGG
rnacentral:rRNA from 1 species